rnacentral:rRNA from 1 species
UUCAAGCAUAUCAAUAAGCGGAGGAAAAGAAACUAACAAGGAUUCCCCCAGUAAUGGCGAAUGAAGCGGGAACAGCUCAAAUUUGGAAUCUCCGUCGCUCGACGCGACGGCGAAUUGUAGUUUCGAGAAGCGCCUUCCCGGCGAACGCCCGGGCUCGCCCAAGUUGCCUGGAACGGCACGUCACAGAGGGUGAGAACCCCGUCCGAGGCGGGCCCGGAUCGCCCGCGAUGCGCUUUCCAAGAGUGGGUUGCUUGG